rfam:Cucumis melo, WGS project CAJI01000000 data, contig: 25194
AUUUGAUGAUGUGGAAAGCUUCCACAUAACUCUUUGCACCGCUCCCAAUAUUCGAAGAAAGACUCUCCUACGGCUUGUUUGAUGCAAUAGAUCUCCUUUCUUAUGCU